UAAAAGAAGUUUGACUUUUAUUUUAAAAAUCUAUAAAGUAAUACAAACGGGUGAUGGUGAUAAACCGACGGUGUAAAACUUUUUACACUGACAGUGUAUAGUAAUUAAUCUCAAAUAAAAAAUAAGAAAAAUUAAUAAUUGACAAAAAAAUAAAAAUCCUAAAUUUCAUAUUUAUUAUUGUGUUUCAUAUUCAUCUUUACAUAAUUAAAUAUUAUUAUUUUAAAGUUGUCUAAACUCUAACUAUCUACACAUUUUCAUUUUUAUUUACUUUAUUUAAAUAAUAAUAAUAGAAAUUACAAAUUGCAUUUGUCAAAUAAAAAAUGUCAUGUCAAUUUUAUUUUUUUUAAUAUAGUUUUAAAUAUAUAUAUUUAUUUUAUUUUUUAAAAUAAGGUCCAAAUUUUAAAACCCUAGACUAAAGAUCUGUUUGUUUUUGUCCAGGACCGGUGCUGUGCUCAUUUAUAGUGAUUGGACGGGACGAGCAGAAGCAUGUGAUAUCUAUGCAUUUACCAUCUAGAAAACCUUCUUCGAUACAAAACGAUUUGCAUUCUUCUUCAAUGCAUCUACUUGCUUCUCCUUCCACCACCAUCUCUGCAUACAUCAUUCAUCCAGCAGAUAUUAUUAUUAACACAAAAAUGUAUAGAGACACUUUUGUCAAUAUUUUAAAAAUUGGAUUGGACAACAGAUCCAACCAAUAAAAUAAGAAAAUAUAAAACUGUAGAAUUGAUUAUUAAAUAGUAUAAAAUUAAAUUUUAUGGAUAUUAAUUCUGAAAAAUGAAAGAAACAUGAAACUAUGGGUGAAUGCAAGUUAAACGACGAAUGACAAGUCAGUGUUGAAACGACGAAUGACAGUGACAAUAGGGUCAAUGAAACAUUGAAUUGAUCAAUGACAAGCAUUUCUUAAAUCAAAUAAGUAUUUUUUUAAAAUCUAAACUUUUUUUUCCAAAUAUUUUCAAUUUUUUGUUGUCAUAUUGUCUUUUUCAAAUUUUUUAUUAAAAAUUAUUAAAAUUGAUCAAUAACAAAUAUAUUUUUUUAAAUAACCGUUAUUUUCAAAUUAAAUAUUAAAACAACCAUUUUUUUAAAAUUAUUUAUCAAACUAACCACUUUUCAAAUAAAAAAAUUACACGACAAAAGUAAUAACCAAGAUAAAUAGUGCAUACAUUGUAUUUUGCACUAAGACGCCAACCUUAGUGGUGCAUGUGUGUAUACGUGGUUACUGCAUGUGACGCAUGCAUGCAUCCACUUGGUGCAUGCGCCACUGGGUAUGGCACAUAUGUUUUUUUUUUAAAGUAUGCGUCAGUCAACAUGACGUCUCCUAGGACAGAGAAUCAUCCAGGGGAUGUAUGCAUGUGCCACAUGCAGUAACGACAAAUACAUGCAUGCGCCAUUAGGAUUGACAUCUUAGUGCAAAAAUAUAAUGCAUCUGUCAUUUGUUUUGGCUACUGUUUUUAUCGUGCAAUUUUUUUGUUUCAAAAAUGGUUAGUUUGAUAAAUAAUUUGAAAAGAUUGUUAUUUUGGUAUUUAAUUUGAAAAUAGUGGUUAAUUUAAAAAAAAUUCCAAACAUUUCUUUAAAUCGAGAAGUUUUAUAAAAUUGGCUCUGAUUUUAUGAUUCUUAAUAUUUCAAUAUGAUUUUUUAUAAUAAAUAGACCGAAUUUAUCAUCGAUUCUCGAUCCAACCGGUUGAACCGAAUGAUUCGAUCCAACUUUUAAAACAAUACUACUCGUUUCCAUUUAUAAAAAAUCAUAUUUUUUAAGAUGAAUUUAUUGUUAAAAAACAUUUUAUCUUCUUUAAAAUAUUUAUCUUUAAUAUUGAUAAGUAUAUUUAUGAUAAAAGAAUAAUAAAAUAAAAAUAUUAAUUAAAAAGUAUAAUUUAAAAGUUAAAAUUAAAAUUAAAAUUAAAAUUAUAUUAAAAAUUAUAAAUAACAUAUUAAAAUAACGCUUAUUUUAAAAAAGGAUGAGGAAGACUUACGGGAGGGAAUAAUAAUAAUAAAAAUGAACAAGAAUCCAAAGUAUGUUUUAUUCAUGACUACCACACACUUAAUAAAAUAUUUGGUUAUCUAUUUAUAAUGGUGGAGGGUGCAAACACUUAAUUCUAUUUUUUAUUUUAAAUAUUUGGCUUUUAACUUCAUUUCAUAGUUGGUGUUCCUUCGGUUAUAAAAUUAG
rnacentral:lncRNA from 1 species